CGGAGGAAAAGAAACCAACAGGGAUUGCCUCAGUAGCGGCGAGUGAAGCGGCAAGAGCUCAGAUUUGAAAUCGUGCUUUGCGGCACGAGUUGUAGAUUGCAGGUUGGAGUCUGUGUGGAAGGCGGUGUCCAAGUCCCUUGGAACAGGGCGCCCAGGAGGGUGAGAGCCCCGUGGGAUGCCGGCGGAAGCAGUGAGGCCCUUCUGACGAGUCGAGUUGUUUGGGAAUGCAGCUCCAAGCGGGUGGUAAAUUCCAUCUAAGGCUAAAUACUGGCGAGAGACCGAUAGCGAACAAGUACUGUGAAGGAAAGAUGAAAAGCACUUUGAAAAGAGAGUGAAACAGCACGUGAAAUUGUUGAAAGGGAAGGGUAUUGCGCCCGACAUGGGGAUUGCGCACCGCUGCCUCUCGUGGGCGGCGCUCUGGGCUUUCCCUGGGCCAGCAUCGGUUCUUGCUGCAGGAGAAGGGGUUCUGGAACGUGGCUCUUCGGAGUGUUAUAGCCAGGGCCAGAUGCUGCGUGCGGGGACCGAGGACUGCGGCCGUGUAGUCACGAUGCGCAGACCCC
rnacentral:rRNA from 1 species